rnacentral:lncRNA from 1 species
ACCUAUUUAUGGGACAUGUCUCCCUCGCCCAAUGAGAUAAAUGAAUAACUUCCAUUUUAAAAGUGUGAGAGAUUAAAAUAAAGGCAGAUAUAAAUGAAAAAAAAAUGAAGGCAUUGAGUUAAAAAAAAAAAAAAAACCUUCAAUGAAUGAUAUAUGCCCAGAUCUGAGACAGAGAGAAGCAGAGAACUGCUAGGAAUCUGCCCCAAACACAGUGCAGAAAGAUGACACACAUUAACAUCCACAGAGAAUGACUGAGAGGAUUUAAGUGUCCAACAGGAAUUCUCCAACAAGGAAACAGACAAAAUAGUGAAAAAGCACUAUUCAGAAUUUAAGAUUUUCCAGAUUUGAAAAAAGACAUGAAUCCUUAAAUGGACAGUACACCCCAACUACCCAUCAGGAUAAAUAAUGGUAAAGCCAUUCCCAGAAUUGUCACAGUAAAACUGCAGAACAUGAGGAAUAAAAAUAAAACGUUUACAGCUACC